GCCAUACCGCGUGGGUGAAGAAGGCCUAUCGGGUUGUAAAGCCCUUUUGUUGGGAAAGAAAAGCAGUCGAUUAAUACUCGGUUGUUCUGACGGUACCCAAAGAAUAAGCACCGGCUAACUUCGUGCCAGCAGCCGCGGUAAUACGAAGGGUGCAAGCGUUACUCGGAAUUACUGGGCGUAAAGCGUGCGUAGGUGGUUGUUUAAGUCUGUUGUGAAAGCCCUGGGCUCAACCUGGGAAUUGCAGUGGAUACUGGGCGACUAGAGUGUGGUAGAGGGUAGUGGAAUUCCCGGUGUAGCAGUGAAAUGCGUAGAGAUCGGGAGGAACAUCCAUGGCGAAGGCAGCUACCUGGACCAACACUGACACUGAGGCACGAAAGCGUGGGGAGCAAACAGGAUUAGAUACCCUGGUAGUCCACGCCCUAAACGAUGCGAACUGGAUGUUGGGUGCAAUUUGGCACGCAGUAUCGAAGCUAACGCGUUAAGUUCGCCGCCUGGGGAGUACGGUCGCAAGACUGAAACUCAAAGGAAUUGACGGGGGCCCGCACAAGCGGUGGAGUAUGUGGUUUAAUUCGAUGCAACGCGAAGAACCUUACCAUGGUCUUGACAUGUCGAGAACUUUCCA
rnacentral:rRNA from 1 species